rnacentral:rRNA from 1 species
AUUGAACGCUGGCGGCAUGCCUUACACAUGCAAGUCGAACGGUAACAGGUCUUCGGCCGCUGACGAGUGGCGCACGGGUGCGUAAUACAUCGGAACGUGCCCGAUCGUGGGGGAUAACGAGGCGAAAGCUUUGCUAAUACCGCAUACGAUCUACGGAUGAAAGCGGGGGAUCUUCGGACCUCGCGCGGACGGAGCGGCCGAUGGCAGAUUAGGUAGUUGGUGGGAUAAAAGCUUACCAAGCCGACGAUCUGUAGCUGGUCUGAGAGGAUGAUCAGCCACACUGGGACUGAGACACGGCCCAGACUCCUACGGGAGGCAGCAGUGGGGAAUUUUGGACAAUGGGCGAAAGCCUGAUCCAGCCAUGCCGCGUGCAGGAUGAAGGCCUUCGGGUUGUAAACUGCUUUUGUACGGAACGAAAAGCCUCUUUCUAAUAAAGAGGGGUCAUGACGGUACCGUAAGAAUAAGCACCGGCUAACUACGUG